CCUGCCAUAGGACAGGCUGAGGCAGAGUCUCAGUGUUGCCCUGUUCAGUCUGAGGCAAGUGGGAUUUAUUUUAUUCGUUCUGGGGGCUUUCACAGCUUUAUGGCUGUUGGAUAUUUAUGUCCCCAAACUUGCAGCAAGUUUGGUGAAGGCCCCUACUUUUAUUUUAAUUUAGGUUUUUAAUUCUCUUUUGGUAGAUGGGCUCUAUAUUAAUAUUAAUCUUUUUAUUAUCACUGUUUUUUUUAAGAGUCUCGGGGAGGGAACGUGUUUUGAGAGGUUUGGGUACUGUUUCACUUAUGGUCAGGGAGUCCUUCAGCCACACUGUACCCCUGCCCCCUUCCCCUGUGUUUUAUUUGUGCUGUAUUUGUUCUGCUUUUGACAAUGUGACUUUUUAUACAUGCUGCUGGUUCAAAAACUACAGAUUAAUUACUAAUUUUUCUUCCGGGAAGAUGUAUUUAACAAAGUGCUUGAAAUACUUAGGCUUUAACUAAGAAGUGACAUCCCUUAUCACACAGACUUGCAGCCUAAAUUACAGUUGCUAUGGAGGAGGACAUUGACUGCUGUAUUUGUGAGCUACCCCACAGCAAAUGUUGGUGUAGUGCCCUGUAAAGAACUAGAGAUUCCAGUCGAUGGAAGAAUGAGAAAAGAAAGCUGAAGUUCUUUCAGCUUGUCACUUUCAGGAAAACCUUUUCAUUGAUCACUUAAAUACACUGAACUUCACAGUAAUUUGUUGCAUCAGUGUACUGGGAAAAAAAUCAUCUUACUUUCUUGAAACCACGUGGACUUGUUGCAUAUCCAAAAUUUGCUGAAGGUUAUGGCUAUCUGAAUUUACUACUUUUGCAGAAUAGCUGGCAAAAACUUCCAUCCUUUGUGAAGAAAAACUGGUGCUGCUCACUUGGAGUACGCUGAUUUUGAAUGCUUGAGGUGGCUUAAAGAGAGCUUCAGAGGAGCAAGUUUUGUCCAAGGAAGUUGUUAAUGUUCUUGUGGAGCACAAUCUGUAUUUCAUUUCUCCAGGAGUGGGAUCAGUAAUGACGCACUUGGAGAUUUUCAGUAAGUGGUGUUGAAGGAUAAGGAGUGGAUUUCUCAUGGGGGCCCAAGUAGUCUCUGACUGGAAGUUGCCGUGUCCUCUGCUUUCUGUUUCAGAGUAAUUGCUGAUUUCCUUACUGUGGUGCUACACUUAGUGCUUUAAGAUACACCAGCACAACUGGUCAUUAUUUCACUUAUUCAGUCUCUAGGAGCAUUUGGCUUAGUUCUUAUUUCCCCAGAGUAUCUAAAGAAGCCAUUUAACUAAGUAUUCAGCAUGACUUGUACUUCUUUAAGUAGCUGAAUCUCUGAAAGACUCCAGAUGGGGAAAAGAAAAAAAACAAAUUUUGGAUGGAUUGUGUUGAAUUUUGUCAUCAGUUUUCAUGUAAGAAUGAUGCAGCAUGGGGUAGUUUUUAUGCAGCUACUUGUAUUUAGCUUGUGUCACAAACAGUAGCUGAAGUUUACACAAGUGCUUCACUGUCUGUAAAUGAAGUGCCCUACUUAAAUCCACUUGGGCUACCUCAGUACAUUGAUAUUCUGGUGAGAGCUGAACAUUCUCAAAGCAAACUUCGUUUUUAUUGGAGCAAAGCAGGUUUACAUGUUCAUGGAAAGUAUGUGCCAGGGAUGCAGUUCCUGUCUCCCUUGUUGAUCAAGCUGUGUGUACUGAUACUUCAGGACAGAUGAGCCAUUUCUUUGUAUUUUUUGCGUGAUUUCACACACCACGUGACACUGCAUAGCAUCACAAUGCUAUGGAUUUUUUUUUUUUUUCUUUUCUUAAAGCUUUUGGAAAAUUUCAAGAAAAUGAAUUUCACACUGCUUCUGAAAGAUGCAUUUGACUCCAGGAUAAUUCCAUGUACUGCUAUUCCGUGACAAUACCUUAUGAACUGAGGCUUUUUGCUCUAGGUUUUUCCUGUUGUUCAAACAUUCUCUGCUUCUACCCUUUACAUCGCUGUCCUUUUCUGUAAGUCUCCAUGGAUUGGACAGGACCAACCUGUUCCCUGUUUGGGUGUUGGUGUUUUUAGCAGGCUAUAUCCGUGUUACUCUGACCUGUUACCACAGACUAAUGUUUGUGCUUAAAUUUACAGCAACUAAUGAUGUGCAUUUUCCGUUUGCUUUGUGCCUCGUCCUAAAAGGUAUGUGUGCAGAGUACUGCUGUCUUUCUAGUCCAAAGGAUGGCAUGCUGACAAGGUGCAAGUAUCUGCUCAGCUGUCAGAAUAGCUGCCCUGUCGUCUCUUUAAAACAACCUGAAAAGUUCCCAUAGAUGGCAAAGGGUUCACAUCUUGUUCUUUUGGUGGAUCUUUGUUGGUGACCUCCUUCAUGCCUCGUGGAUCUAAGGAGGGUAGUACCAAAAGAAACUUAGACUGUAAAUGGAAUUUAUUGAUUUGGAAGGUUGGCAGCAUUUUUACUGGCACUCCAGUGCGUGCUGUCAGUAUUGCAGCAGUGUCAUAAAGCUGUAUAAUGCACUGUGGAAUUUCAUUUCUAAUGACUGUCAUAUAUUAGUGAAUUGACUUUCAUAGGCAGUAGUGGAGGCAGGUUUUGGAGAGCUGGGUUUUUAAGAUUGUGGAGUGCUACGUGACUCUUCUUAAACAUUAGGAAUGCCUGAAAUUCUGCUAAACUGAAUGAAUUUUAACCCACUGGUGCUGAGGAGUGAAGGAGAGACGUAGAAAAGUACGUAGCACAGCAGGAGCUCUGACUGGCUUUAGAAGUAUUCUGUGCCAUGCCUGAUAACUGCUAUGACCCAUAGUACUGUGAGGGCAGGCCAUCUCCUUUUAAAAACUUACCUUUUAAAAGUACAUAUACACCUGCAGUCAAGGCAGCAUUACCAGUGAAAUGCUGGCAGUUGCUUCAGAAAUGCAGUGAUAGUGACUGCUGCAAUUUUCAGUCAGAACUAAGUGAGGUAAACAGGAGUUUGGGAGUGAGAAGUCUCAGAGGCAGCCCUGCAGGGGAUGGAGUGAGUGUUCAUUGAGUGGCUGAAGUGUUACGUAUGGAGCUGAUUUGUUUGGGAAGUUCUGAAAAAAACUUUCUGAUAAUUUUCUUGUAUUCUCCUUUAAACAGCAGCUUUAUGCAAUCUUUUGAUUAUCAGAGAAUGCAGAUUUUUAUUCAGGCUCUACUGGAAGAAAAUACAAUUCUAGUACAGAAUUCAGAGAUUCUGUUGUGUAGUGAAUGCUCUUUUGCUCCGUGGAAGUUCUUGGGAGGUGUGAGGGAGCCAGGCGCCUCGGCGUGCCGCCUCUGCAGCCAGCAGCAUCCCGUCCUGAGCUGUGUGCUCCUGGCUGGUGCCUUCACUCCUUUGCUCUCAGCGUCCUGAUGAGUCUGUGCUGGCUGUCGGUGAGGACUUACAUUUGUGCAUCGGACCUCUGUUGUGAGUAAUAACGCACCUUGUCCCUUCUGAACAAGUUUAUGCUGACUUGUUCUAUUGCUUUAGGCUCACCUGCAGUAGUACCAGGCAGCAGCACUGCCGCUUCAUAACGAUGAACUGAGCUUCUCUGCAGAUAAGUCCUGAGCAUACCUUAAUGCUCGUGUUUCUCAGAGAAGCUGAAACAUCCUGAGGAAACAGUAGAGAUGGAGUGCAAGCAGCAUGUUAACCACAAGCAGAUGAUCCACAUGUUGGCAUUACAGUGUGUUAGGUAACUAUGUUGCAGCAGAUCCAGGUUUCUCAUGUCUCAAAUUUUAUCUUAAAUCUUCCCUACAUCUUAGCCACAUUCCCAGGUUCUUUUCAAAGAGGGUAGGUGUUGAAUUUCAACUUCUGCUGCCUUAAGUAAUCGGUAUCUACAAAUGGUUUUGGAUGGUAGCAACUUAGAAUUACCCAAAAACUAUGCCAUACAACUAUGGAAACUGUUUCAGUGUCCCAGCUUAGGGAAGUAUAUAAUGCUGUGAAAUAAAGAUGUCAUGCAAAGCUUCUUUCUUUCUCUUUGUCCCCCCAUUGUGUUGUAGAAGUGUGUGAUACAUGCAGGCACUGACUUCUUUAGCUUCUAGUCGAAGAAAAUACAUUUUGCUCUUUCAUUUGUAAAGUCUAGAAUAAGAAAACACUUUAUGAGAGUAUUUAAUGAAGGACCCUGGCAAUGUAAGUAUUGUGAUUUCCUUUCUAUUUGUGUUAGGCAGUGGGGUUACCUUGUUAAACUUCUGGCUUGUUAUCAAAAUAACAGAAACGUAAAGGCAAAUUGAAAGUAGUUUUAGUUGCCUUCGCUUCAUAUGCUUUUCAUAAGUGACAAAUUGUAGUAAUUGAAGUUCGGCAGCUUUUUUAAUUGAAAAACUAAAUUACAGGUUGAACUCCUUGGUUUAAUACAAUUUGUGUUUUUGUCAACUAGCAGCAGAAUUUCAGCAUUUGCUACUUACUGGUAGAGAAGAAAUAUCCUACAGCACUGCCAGUACAGGUUAGUUUAAUCUGUGAAGCACAUUAUUGAAAUGCAUCCCUCUCUGCAGUAGCCCAGCUACAGAUGCCAGUAUGUCAGGAAUGUUCUUGUAACUCGAUGCAGCUCUUGUGUAAGUGGUAUGAAGGGGAUGGGAUCAGUGAUCUUUGAUCAAGGGCAAAAUAUUGAUGUUGAAUUUGAUUUCAGAAGGAUUGGUAAGUAUGUGCAUUGCUUUAGUGCAUGCAAGCACCAAUAAUUGUAGCUUAAUUUUUAUAGCAUUCAGUUUACAAAGAAGAUUCAAAGAAAAUAUGGAGCAAACAUCAUUGGCAUCCCUUGGGAACCUUCUGUGAACUGUAUUUCAGGCAUAGAUAACUGCGCAUACGUAUGUAUGUAUACAAACUGCUUUGUAACAGUCUCUGAUUAAAUAUAAGUAAAACGCU